rnacentral:rRNA from 1 species
CAGUCGCCACGGUAAUACGAAGGGGGCUAGCGUUGUUCGGAAUUACUGGGCGUAAAGCGCACGUAGGCGGAUCGAUCAGUCAGGGGUGAAAUCCCAGGGCUCAACCCUGGAACUGCCUUUGAUACUGUCGAUCUGGAGUAUGGAAGAGGUGAGUGGAAUUCCGAGUGUAGAGGUGAAAUUCGUAGAUAUUCGGAGGAACACCAGUGGCGAAGGCGGCUCACUGGUCCAUUACUGACGCUGAGGUGCGAAAGCGUGGGGAGCAAACAGGAUUAGAUACCCCGGUAGUCCCUGUCUCUUAUAC